rnacentral:tRNA from 1 species
GGCCCAAUGGUCUAGUAGUAUGAUUCGCGCUUCGGGUCCCAGCAAGUUGCGCGAGGUCCCGGGUUCAAUUCCCGGUUGGGCCC